rnacentral:misc_RNA from 1 species
GCCUUUUGAACCUCUACAGUACAUAAAAAAUCCCCUUCCACUCUACUGAUAGCUCCUUUAAUACUGGCAAAAGUACCUGUGUCACGGUAAAAAUACCCUAUGAGAAGAAAUGAUACCACAAUAAUAAGUCCAAUUGUUAAAUAUGGGGGAGACCGUGUCUUUGACCGAAUUGAGCCUUCUAAGGAAGAAGCUCCAUUGUCUGUUACACGUCGAGAUGGAUUGAUAGGCCUCCUUGACAUCAUUUUA